rnacentral:rRNA from 1 species
UGGGGAAUAUUGCACAAUGGGCGAAAGCCUGAUGCAGCAACGCCGCGUGAGUGAUGACGGUCUUCGGAUUGUAAAGCUCUGUCUUUGGGGACGAUAAUGACGGUACCCAAGGAGGAAGCCACGGCUAACUACGUGCCAGCAGCCGCGGUAAUACGUAGGUGGCAAGCGUUGUCCGGAUUUACUGGGCGUAAAGGGUGCGUAGGCGGACCUUUAAGUGAGAUGUGAAAUCCCCGAGCUUAACUUGGGGGCUGCAUUUCAAACUGGAGGUCUAGAGUGCAGGAGAGGAGAGUGGAAUUCCUAGUGUAGCGGUGAAAUGCGUAGAGAUUAGGAAGAACACCAGUGGCGAAGGCGACUCUCUGGACUGUAACUGACGCUGAGGUGCGAAAGCGUGGGGAGUAAACAG